GUUACAUCAACCCUCAGUUGCCCAGGGGAGCAACUAAGGGGCCCCAAUUUUUACAGUCUCAUUUGUCGGGAAAAAAGCAAAUGAGAAAAAAAUUCCCACUAUGAAUUAUUAACAUCACCUUUAUAAAUCUUAUCUAUCCUUGUACAAAUGUACAUGUACCUGCAAUCAUUAUCGAUCUAUAUAUCUUUACCAGCUCUCAACAAAUAUAAUUUUUUGAAUAAAGUAUGUUUUUAUCUUAAUUUAUUUCUCACAAAG
rnacentral:lncRNA from 1 species